rnacentral:rRNA from 1 species
GAUUCCGCCUUCAUGCUCUCGAGUUGCAGAGAACAAUCCGAACUGAGACGGCUUUUGGAGAUUAGCGCACUCUCGCGAGUUUGCUGCCCACUGUCACCGCCAUUGUAGCACGUGUGUAGCCCAGCGCGUAAGGGCCAUGAGGACUUGACGUCAUCCCCACCUUCCUCCGGCUUAUCACCGGCGGUUCCUUUAGAGUCCCCAACUAAAUGAUGGUAACUAAAGGCGAGGGUUGCGCUCGUUGCGGGACUUAACCCAACAUCUCACGACACGAGCUGACGACAGCCAUGCAGCACCUGUGUUCCAGUCCCCGAAGGGAAGAGAUCCAUCUCUGGAAAUCGUCCGGACAUGUCAAACGCUGGUAAGGUUCUGCGCGUUGCUUCGAAUUAAACCACAUGCUCCAUCGCUUGUGCAGGCCCCCGUCAAUUCCUUUGAGUUUUAAUCUUGCGACCGUACUCCCCAGGCGGAUAACUUAAUGCGUUAGCUGCGCCACCCAAGCACCAAGUGCCCGGACAGCUAGUUAUCAUCGUUUAC